UCUUUCUUUCUCUCUCUCUCUCUCUCUCUCUCUCUCUCUCACACACACACACACAGAGAGAGAGAGAGAGAGAGAGAGAGAGAGAGAGAGAGA
rnacentral:miRNA from 1 species